GGCACCCUCUAAACUCUGCAAACUGAAACUGGAACCAUGGUUACCACAUCCUGUUCAUUUUCCAAUUUAGCUCAACCCCUGUGUCCUGCCCAAUAGAAGUGGCACCAUGGCCCCCAAACUCAUCACCGUCCUGUGUCUGGGAUUCUGCCUGAACCAGAAGAUCUGCCCACAUGCGGGUGCUCAGGACAAGUUCUCCCUGUCAGCCUGGCCGAGCCCUGUGGUUCCCCUAGGAGGACGUGUGACUCUCUCCUGUCAUUCCCAUCUUCGAUUUGUCAUAUGGACAAUAUUCCAAACAACUGGGACCCGAAGCCAUGAGUUGCACACUGGCCUUUCCAACAACAUCACCAUCAGCCCUGUGACCCCAGAACACGCAGGGACCUACAGAUGUGUUGGAAUUUACAAGCACGCCUCAAAGUGGUCAGCUGAGAGCAACUCCCUGAAGAUCAUCGUCACAGGUGGACCCCAUGAUGAGGCUGGGAGAGAAGUUGACCCUCUUCUGCAGCUCUGAAAUCUCAUUUGACCAGUACCAUCUGUUCAGACACGGGGUUGCUCAUGGACAGUGGCUCAGUGGAGGGCAGAGACACAGGGAAGCAUUCCAGGCCAACUUUUCUGUGGGCCGUGCAACGCCAGUCCCUGGCGGGACCUAUAGAUGCUAUGGUUCCUUCAAUGACUCUCCCUAUAAGCCCCCAGUGACCCGCUGCAACUUUACACCACAGGAAACACUAAGAGUACUCCUCUGUCAUUCACAGAAUCCACCCCUGAAUCUGACACACCUCGCCCUCAAGGACAGUCCAGCAACCUGCAUAUGCUCACUGGACUCUCAGUAGCCAUCAUCUCCAUUGGCGUUUGCCUCUCUGCUUUUAUUGGUUUCUGGUGUUACAUAAAAUAUCUGGGGGAGGCUGGAUCACGCUGCAGCCUCAGGCACGCCCUUGCCUUGUUUUGGUCUUGGUAUUGCCACCUCUGAAGUGAAGAUCUGGAAGACUUUCUUUUUCACCCCACAGACACCACCAUGGCAAACACAGAGCCCACGGAAGGCCAACGGACGGAUGAAGAGGAGCCUGCAGCAGAAGAGACACAGGAGAUCAUAUAUGCCCAGUUAAACCACCAGGCCCUCUCACAGACAGGAUUCCCUCCUGCCUCCCAGUGUCCCCACUACCUCUCGGAGGAUCCUAGUAUCUACAUCACUGUCCACCAAGCCCAGGCUGAGGCCAGAGCUGCCCCCAGUCUUUGGCACAAAGGGCAUUAAUACGCAAGGACCUGGAUCUAUUCCUAGGAGGAUUUUUUUUCCACGGACAUUCUUCCUCCUUCUGGUACCAUCUUGACACCUCGAAGC
rnacentral:lncRNA from 1 species